rnacentral:rRNA from 1 species
GAUGAACGCUAGCGGCAGGCUUAAUACAUGCAAGUCGAGGGGCAGCAUGAUUGUAGCAAUACAAUUGAUGGCGACCGGCAAACGGGUGCGGAACACGUACACAACCUCCCUAUAAGUGGGGAAUAGCCCAGAGAAAUUUGGAUUAAUAUCCCGUAACAUAACGAUGUGGCAUCACAUUGUUAUUAUAGAUUUUUCGCUUAUUGAUCGGUGUGUCGGUUGAUUAGAUAGUUGGCGGGGUAACGGCCAACCAAGUCUACGACCAGUAGCUGAUGUGAGAGCAUGAUCAGCCACACGGGCAUGGAGACACGGGCCCGACUCCUACGGGAGGCAGCAGUAAGGAAUAUUGGACAAUGGACGCAAGUCUGAUCCAGCCAUGCCGCGUGAAGGAUUAAGGUCCUCUGGAUUGUAAACUUCUUUUAUAAGGGACGAAAAAAGGCUUUUCUAAGUCGUCUGACGGUACCUUAUGAAUAAGCACCGGCUAACUCCGUGCCAGCCGCCGCAGUAAUAC